rnacentral:rRNA from 1 species
GACGAACGCUGGCGGCGUGCUUAACACAUGCAAGUCGAACGGAAAGGCCCUGCUUUUGUGGGGUGCUCGCGUGGCGAACGGGUGAGUAACACGUGAGUAACCUGCCCUUGACUUUGGGAUAACUUCAGGAAACUGGGGCUACUACCGGAUAGGAGCUCCUGCUGCAUGGUGGGGGUUGGACAGUUUCGGCGGUUGUGGAUGGACUCGCGGCUUAUCAGCUUGUUGGUGGGGUAGUGGCUUACCAAGGCUUUGACGGGUAGCCGGCCUGAGAGGGUGACCAGCCACAUGGGGACUGCGAGACGGCCCAGACGCCUACGGGAGGCAGCAGGGGGGAAUAUUGCACAAUGGGCGGGAGCCUGAGGCAGCAACGCCGCGUGCGGGAUGACGGCCUUCGGGUUGUAAACCGCUUUCGCCUGUGACGAAGCGUGAGUGACGGUAAUGGGUAAAGAAGCACCGGCUAACUACGUG